AGGUAGGAGAUUAAUCUGUUCUGGUGUAAGGCUCAUGACCUGCUGAAGCAGCGCUUUUUCCAUCUCAGGAGUCAAUGGUGUAGCACGACUGGGCUGAGUGCCAGGGCCCAUCUGACCAGGAAUCGUUGGCUGUGGUCCAGGAAGAUGUGUCAUUGUCAAGCCCUCUGGUGGGCCAGACAUCCAAGACGGUCCUCUAUCAACUUGCAUUGUAUUUCCAACUUGAUUAUUGAACUCAGCCCCCAAGUGUGAACCUCCACCCUGAUACAAUGAUGGUAUCUGACUUGGAAGAGGUGGCUGUCCUUGUGGAAAUGAAUGCCCUAUGCUAGCUUGAGGUUUGUUACCAGAAUGAAACAUCGGUUGCGAAGGAUGUUGAGGAGCACCAGCAUGCUGGAAACCCACAUUGGGCCCCAUUUGUGGUCCAUACUGAUGAUGAAAGCUUGGACCAGAAGGUAGUCUACCUUGCAGAGGCAGUGGUGGUUGCAACGGCAGAUGAGGAAUUCCAGUUGUCUGUAAUGGCUGUUGCAACUGAGUAGAGACUGUGGGCAUUUGAGGUUGGUGAAGUGGGGGUGGCUGUGAAGCAGAAUGAAGAGGUGGAGGUAUGUUUGGAAGUUGAGAGGAUUGUUGAACAGAAAUUGGGGUCACUUGUGGGUUCAAAUGUCCCUUCGGCAACUGAGGCGUCUGUAGAGGGUGUGAAGGCAUAGGCUGAGAUUGAAGACUUGAAGGAGGAGCUGAAGUAGAAGACAUUGAUAUUGAAGGUUGAUUCUGGUGUUGCUUUCUCACUGGAAGUUGGUUUUGAGAUGCAACUGUUUGUUCCUGUAAAACUUGUCCGGGUAAUGAGUGGGCAGCCUGAAUAUUU
rnacentral:misc_RNA from 1 species